rnacentral:rRNA from 1 species
CAGGAUGAAGGCCUUCGGGUUGUAAACUGCUUUUGUACGGAACGAAAAGUCUCUUUCUAAUAAAGAGGGAUCAUGACGGUACCGUAAGAAUAAGCACCGGCUAACUACGUGCCAGCAGCCGCGGUAAUACGUAGGGUGCAAGCGUUAAUCGGAAUUACUGGGCGUAAAGCGUGCGCAGGCGGUUAUGUAAGACAGUUGUGAAAUCCCCGGGCUCAACCUGGGAACUGCAUCUGUGACUGCAUAGCUAGAGUACGGUAGAGGGGGAUGGAAUUCCGCGUGUAGCAGUGAAAUGCGUAGAUAUGCGGAGGAACACCGAUGGCGAAGGCAAUCCCCUGGACCUGUACUGACGCUCAUGCACGAAAGCGUGGGGAGCAAACAGGAUUAGAUACCCUGGUA